UUCUUAUUCAUUUUUCAUUCAUACCAAAUGACAUUUUUUCUCACCCCUUCUCUCUCUUCCAUUUUCUUGCAAACCCUAGGAGCCGCCGCUGCUUCCUCUUUCUCUCUCAUCCCAAAUAUGGUAAAAUCACAGAAUAAGUGUAAGAUGCACAGCUUUUGCAGCAUUAUUUACAUGAAACAAAUUAAUUCCCAGUUUUGUUUUACCCAGAUCUUUCCAAAAUCGUGUCGAUGUGGCAGAGUGUGGGAUUUGGAAGCACAAAAGGUUUCCAAAUUCAAUCUUGACCACGGCUGCACUUAAAAAAGGUGGCCAGGGAGACAGACUUGAUCCAUAGCUACAUUAAUCAGGGACUACAUAGCGGAGCUCCAUUUCAUUCGGAGCUAUAGCUUUUGGUAUUGAUUCUUUUGUGUACAUAUUUAUAGGCAUAGCGGGGUCCUGUCACGCCUAUAUGAUAUGGCAUACUCUCCUUAGAGGCUCGUAGGCAUGUGUAUAUGGUUAGAUAUGUUUUCCCUUGUCAGCCUAUAUUUUGGACAUCAUUUUGUUAGCCUCGUCGGCUUAUGUACAUUGGUAUGGGCAUAAUUGCAAAUGAUGAUAUAAAUGUAUU